AGUCAAAUAACUCAGUUGGUAGAGCAUGAGACUCUUAAUUUCAAGGUUGGGGGUUUGGGCCCCACUUUGGGUG